UACGGGGGGAGCAAGCGUUGUUCGGAUUUACUGGGCGUAAAGGGCGCGUAGGCGGCCACCGCGAGUCGACUGUGAAAUCUCCGGGCUUAACCCGGAAAGGUCAGCCGAUACUGCGGGGCUAGAGUGCAGAAGGGGCAACUGGAAUUCUCGGUGUAGCGGUGAAAUGCGUAGAUAUCGAGAGGAACACCUGCGGCGAAGGCGGGUUGCUGGGCUGACACUGACGCUGAGGCGCGAAAGCGUGGGGAGCAAACAGG
rnacentral:rRNA from 1 species